rnacentral:rRNA from 1 species
GAACGCUGGCGGCGUGCCUAAUACAUGCAAGUCGAGCGAGCAGAACCAGCAGAUUUACUUCGGUAAUGACGCUGGGGACGCGAGCGGCGGAUGGGUGAGUAACACGUGGGGAACCUGCCCCAUAGUCUGGGAUACCACUUGGAAACAGGUGCUAAUACCGGAUAAGAAAGCAGAUCGCAUGAUCAGCUUAUAAAAGGCGGCGUAAGCUGUCGCUAUGGGAUGGCCCCGCGGUGCAUUAGCUAGUUGGUAAGGCAACGGCUUACCAAGGCAAUGAUGCAUAGCCGAGUUGAGAGACUGAACGGCCACAUUGGGACUGAGACACGGCCCAAACUCCUACGGGAGGCAGCAGUAGGGAAUCUUCCACAAUGGACGCAAGUCUGAUGGAGCAACGCCGCGUGAGUGAAGAAGGUUUUCGGAUCGUAAAGCUCUGUUGUUGGUGAAGAAGGAUAGAGGCAGUAACUGGCCUUUAUUUGACGGUAAUCAACCAGAAAGUCACGGCUAACUACGUGCCAGCAGCCGCGGUAAUACGUAGGUGGCAAGCGUUGUCCGGAUUUAUUGGGCGUAAAGCGAGCGCAGGCGGAAGAAUAAGUCUGAUGUGAAAGCCCUCGGCUUAACCGAGGAACUGCAUCGGAAACUGUUUUUCUUGAGUGCAGAAGAGGAGAGUGGAACUCCAUGUGUAGCGGUGGAAUGCGUAGAUAUAUGGAAGAACACCAGUGGCGAAGGCGGCUCUCUGGUCUGCAACUGACGCUGAGGCUCGAAAGCAUGGGUAGCGAACAGGAUUAGAUACCCUGGUAGUCCAUGCCGUAAACGAUGAGUGCUAAGUGUUGGGAGGUUUCCGCCUCUCAGUGCUGCAGCUAACGCAUUAAGCACUCCGCCUGGGGAGUACGACCGCAAGGUUGAAACUCAAAGGAAUUGACGGGGGCCCGCACAAGCGGUGGAGCAUGUGGUUUAAUUCGAAGCAACGCGAAGAACCUUACCAGGUCUUGACAUCUAGUGCCAUCCUAAGAGAUUAGGAGUUCCCUUCGGGGACGCUAAGACAGGUGGUGCAUGGCUGUCGUCAGCUCGUGUCGUGAGAUGUUGGGUUAAGUCCCGCAACGAGCGCAACCCUUGUUAUUAGUUGCCAGCAUUAAGUUGGGCACUCUAAUGAGACUGCCGGUGACAAACCGGAGGAAGGUGGGGAUGACGUCAAGUCAUCAUGCCCCUUAUGACCUGGGCUACACACGUGCUACAAUGGGCAGUACAACGAGAAGCGAGCCUGCGAAGGCAAGCGAAUCUCUGAAAGCUGUUCUCAGUUCGGACUGCAGUCUGCAACUCGACUGCACGAAGCUGGAAUCGCUAGUAAUCGCGGAUCAGAACGCCGCGGUGAAUACGUUCCCGGGCCUUGUACACACCGCCCGUCACACCAUGGAAGUCUGCAAUGCCCAAAGCCGGUGGCCUAACCUUCGGGAAGGAGCCGUCUAAGGCAGGGCAGA